rnacentral:lncRNA from 1 species
ACCUCCCCCACCAUUUUUCAGGUAUCGCGGGCGAUGAGUAGUGGGACGAGACGUGAGGUACGUGUAUAGCGGUCGAUAGAGCUUCCGACCCAGGUUAUUUCGAUUUAGUUAUUAUCCUUGGUAUUUCUGUUGAUAUAUAGUUUAGUUAGUUUAUGUGGUUCAGUAUUUAUUUACAUUCGAAAAUGUGGAUUUCUGGAUUUUGUAAAUUAAAAGGUUUUCUACCCCUCGUUGUAGCGUUUUUAAAAGAAUAAAGGUUUCUGUGUAGGAAACGGUUUUCAAAAGAUUUUUGUGGAUUUCUGUUUAAACCUUGAAUGUAAAACUGUGAUGUGAAUGGUGAAUGUAUGAAUGUAUAGUUAUCUUUAUAUUCAUCUGGUUGUGGUUGUAUCCUGGUUGUACUGUGUAUUUGAUCGACGCCGUGCAAAUACAGGGGAGACUCUGUCCGUGUGAACAGUGGAUUCCCUGUAUUUGUGGCGGAUCUGGCAUACUCUGGGGUCAGGUUUUCAAAAAAAAAAUUUUCAGACGCUUUUCCGCUUUGUUUUAAAUUGAAAAGGGACCCCGGGGCGUGACAGUUUUACAAGAAUUAGAUUUCGAUAUCAAAUCCACUCUAGAAUUGGAAUAUGACUCAAUUUCAUUUAUAGCCUAAUGCGACUUUAAUCCUGGGUGGGUCCAUUCCAAAAUAAACCAUUCAAAAUUUUCUCUCACAAACACCUCCCCCUUCCUCUCCCUUGAUCACUUUUCUCUAUCUCAAUCAAAAAUCUUCUCUUAAAAUUCAGAUGUUCCAAUUAUCAAUUCUAAUUUCCAUUUCAAUAAUGAACCAAAUAUUUAUGGAUGAUUGUGUUGGGAAUCUAAUACUCCCACUGAUACUAGAUUUUGAGAAUCUGCAAUCCGUUCUGAUAUCGACUACUAUAAAUCCGGUACUGAUUAUUGGGAUUCCGUAAUGGAAGCGUCAAAUCGAUUUUUUACCAUAAAUUCAUAUUCUUAGCAAAAACUGACACAACCACGAAAGGGAGAAAAAAAAUUAUGUAGAAAAUAUGCGGAUAAAAUAAGAUUUACUAAACAAGAGAAGAUUACACGUGACUCCUCUUUUGUAAUAAAAUAGUUUCAACUCGAACCCUCUUUCUUAAUCUCUUCCAUCUUUUUCUCGUCUUCUAUAAACCUAGAAAACUUCUCUCAUUCUACACACCCAUGCAUUAAGUGCAUGCAACCAUGGCUACCUCUCUCUUUCUCUCUCUCUAGUACGGACUAUCCAAGAUACAGCCACACAUCAACUCUAGGAGCAACCGUAUUACCUCAGCAGCCGUACUACCUUAGGCUAAUUCAAUAAUUUUCAUAUGCAGAGACGUAUCUCAAUUCUAGUAUAAUUAAAAUUUCUAUUCUAGUUAAUAUUUAAAUCUAGAUUAAUUUACUUUCAAUAGAUUUAAAUAUUUAUUCUAAUCAGACUAAAAAUCAACUACAAAUCUAACCAAAUCUUAACAAAUUAAAUAUCCUAUUUUUUAUUUCAAUACAAUCCAAUUUCAUUUCCCAUUCUCAUUUCAAUUGUAAGGAAGUGAAUUCUCGAAAUCCGAGGAUUGUACUUCAUCCAAGAUCGACUAACUGUCGAGAGAAUACCCUUGGUGGGAGUUAAGAA